rnacentral:rRNA from 1 species
AGAGCGAACGCUGGCGGCAGGCCUAACACAUGCAAGUCGAACGGACUCUUCGGAGUUAGUGGCGGACGGGUGAGUAACACGUGGGAACGUGCCUUUAGGUUCGGAAUAGCUCCUGGAAACGGGUGGUAAUGCCGAAUGUGCCCUUCGGGGGAAAGAUUUAUCGCCUUUAGAGCGGCCCGCGUCUGAUUAGCUAGUUGGUGAGGUAAAGGCUCACCAAGGCUACGAUCAGUAGCUGGUCUGAGAGGAUGACCAGCCACAUUGGGACUGAGACACGGCCCAAAUCCUACGGGAGGCAGCAGUGGGGAAUCUUGCGCAAUGGGCAAAGCCUGACGCAGCCAUGCCGCGUGAAUGAUGAAGGUCUUAGGAUUGUAAAAUUCUUUACAGUUAGGGACGAUAAUGACGGUACCUACGAGAAGAACGCCCGGCUAACUUCGUGUCAGCAGCCGC